UUAGCCCAUCAUUAGCAGGAUCAUCAAGAAGGAUAGUUUUUUUGAUGAUCCUGCUGAAAGAGGAACUGACAGUAGAAACUCAAAUUAGAUAAGUGUUUUUUUUACUAAUUUAUUCAUAUAUAUACAAUAUUAGGUACGCGGAAAAUACGUUUUACGGAACCGAAACUUGUGCUAAAAAACUGAUCCACGUUUUUUGAAGUCCGUUUAGAGUGAGUGUGGUCGGAGGGGGGAUUUGACAUUUUCCUCAGCAAAUAUGAAGACUGAUGCAUCUUGUAAUACUACUACUCAAAUAAGGUCAGAGGGGGUAACCGCUACUCCCUUCUUCGAAAAUAAAUACUUUGAUGCAUCUUGUUUUAGUACUACUGUGUUAUGGUUAGAGGGGGUAACUCCCACCCUCUCUGCAAAAAUGAGUACUCUGAUGCAUCUUUUAAUACUACUACUGUAAUAUGGUCAGAGGGGGCGGGAUACGCCCUUUUCUCGUGUCUUUGUGUACAUCACUACUUAUAGUUUUAAA
rnacentral:lncRNA from 1 species